rnacentral:misc_RNA from 1 species
UGACCUGUAACACUCAUCCAAUAUUAGGGGUGGGGGUUUCUUGUCAAGGUGUUAGUGACUAGGUGCUUUUCUCUGUGGCAGAGAGAGAGAAAGAAGGAGAGAAAUCAACUGACUACUCUUUGAACGCACAGACAGUGAGGAAGGAUGAUGAGUUUGAGAGUUUACCUAUAUUCAUCAUAGCAAAGAAAUCAACUUUCCAACAAUCUUUUACCAAAUUUUAGUCUCUUCUUCUGAUUAUUCUUCAGGUGUUUGUUCAUCUUUUGACUCUUUUUCUGUUAAUGCCUACGUAAGGGAUGUGCUAGGG